CAGGUGUCCCCAGGUGUCCCCAGCUGUCCCCAAACCCUGUCCAGGUGUCCCCAAACCCUGUCCCAGGUGUCCCCAGGUGUCCCCAAACCCUGUCCAGGUGUCCCCAAACCCUGUCCAGGUGUCCCCAAAUCUGUCCAGGUGUCCCCAGGUGUCCCCAGCUGUCCCCAAACCCAGUCCAGGUGUCCCCAGGUGUCCCCAAACCCUGUCCAGGUGUCCCCAGGUGUCCCCAAACCCUGUCCGGGUGUCCCCAGUCCCGCUCCUGAUGUCCCCAAACAUCUCCCUGCUGUCCCCAGGUGUCCCCAAACCUGUCCCAGGUGUCCCCAAGUGUCCCCAAACCUGUCCCAGGUGUCCCCAGGUGUCCCCAACUUUGUCACAGGUGUCCUCAGGUGUCUCCAAACCCAGCCCAGGUGUCCCCAAAGUUGGUUUUGGUGUCCCCAGGUGUCCCAAACUCCUCUCCAGGUGUCCCCAGGUGUCUCCAAAUCUGUCCCAGGUGUCCCCAACCUUGUCCUUGAUGCCCCCAGGUGUCCCCAAAUCCACCCCAGGUGUCCCCAAACCCUGUCCAGGUGUCCCCAGGUGUCCCAAACUCCUCUCCAGGUGUCCCCAAACCCAUCCCAGAUGUGCCCAGAGCUGGUUCUGGUGUCCCCAGGUGUCCCCAGCCCCUGUCCAGGUGUCCCCAGGUGUCCCCAGGUGUGUCCUCAGGUGUCUCCAAAUCUGUCCCAGAUGUCCCCAACCUCUUCCUUGAUGUCCCCCGGUGUCCCCAAACCCUCCCCAGGUGUCCCCAGGUGUCCCCAAACCCUGUCCGGGUGUCCCCAGGUGUCCCAAACUCCUCUCCAGGUGUCCCCAGGUGUCCCCAGAUCUGAUCCCCAUGUCCCCAGGUGUCCCCAAACUCCUCUCCAGGUGUCCCCAAACCCAUCCCUGAUGUGCCCAGAGCUGGUUCUGGUGUCCCCAGGUGUCCCCAAAUCCAUCCCAGGUGUCCCCAGAGCUGGUUCUGGUGUCCCCAAACCUGUCCCUGCUGUCCCCAGGUGUCCCCAAACCCUGUCCAGGUGUCCCCAAAUCCAUCCCAGGUGUCCCCAGGUGGGUCCUGAUGUCUCCAGGUGUCCCCAGAUCUGUCCCAGGUGUGUCCCCAAGGUGUCCCCAAACCUGUCCCAGGUGUCCCCAGAGCUGGUUCUGGUGUCCCCAGGUGUCCCCAGGUGUCCCCAAGGUGUCCCCGAUGUCCCCAAGGUGUCCCCAAUGUCCCCAAAGUGUCCCCAAGGUCCCCAAGGGGUUCCUGAUGUCCCCAGAUGGUCCCUGAUGCCCUCAGGUGUCCCCAGGGUGUCCCCAAAGGUGUCCCCAAGGUGUCCCCAAAGUGUCCCCAAUGUCCCCAAAAUGUCCCCAAGGUGUCUCCAAGUGUCCCCAGAGGUGCCCCUGAUGUCCCCAGAGGUGUCCCCAAUGUCCCCAAGGUGUCCCCAAGGUGUCCCCAAAGUGUCCCCAAGGGAUCCCCAAUGUCCCCAGGGGGUCCCCGAUGUCCCCAAAGUGUCCCCAGGAGGGUCCUUGGUGUCCCCAAAGUGUCCCCAAGGGGGUCCCCGAUGUCCCCAA
ensembl:lncRNA